rnacentral:tRNA from 1 species
GGAGGAGUGGCUGAGCGGUUGAAAGCGGCGGUCUUGAAAACCGUUGUGGGCGUAAGCCCACCGUGGGUUCGAAUCCUACCUCCUCCGCCA